AGAGUUUGAUCAUGGCUCAGGAUGAACGCUAGCGGCAGGCUUAAUACAUGCAAGUCGAGGGGCAGCACGGGUAGCAAUACUUGGUGGCGACCGGCGCACGGGUGCGUAACGCGUAUGCAAUCUACCUUCAACAGGUGAAUAACCCGGAGAAAUUCGGACUAAUAUACCGUAGUUUUAUGAUGAGGCAUCUUAUUAUAAUUAAAGAUUUAUCGGUUGAAGAUGAGCAUGCGUAUGAUUAGCUAGUUGGUAGGGUAACGGCUUACCAAGGCGACGAUCAUUAGGGGUUCUGAGAGGAUGAUCCCCCACACUGGUACUGAGACACGGACCAGACUCCUACGGGAGGCAGCAGUAGGGAAUAUUGGGCAAUGGUCGAGAGACUGACCCAGCCAUGCCGCGUGCAGGAAGACGGCCUUAUGGGUUGUAAACUGCUUUUAUACAGGAGUAAUACUCGAUACGUGUAUCGGGAUGCAAGUACUGUAAGAAUAAGGAUCGGCUAACUCCGUGCCAGCAGCCGCGGUAAUACGGAGGAUCCAAGCGUUAUCCGGAUUUAUUGGGUUUAAAGGGUGCGCAGGCUGAUGUAUAAGUCAGUGGUGAAAGCUUCCAGCUUAACUGGAGAACUGCCAUUGAUACUGUAUGUCUAGAGUUUAGACGGCGUAGGCGGAAUAUGUCAAGUAGCGGUGAAAUGCGUAGAUAUGACAUAGAACACCGAUAGGGUAGCCAGCUUACGAGGCUAAAACUGACGCUCAAGCACGAAAGCGUGGGUAUCAAACAGGAUUAGAUACCCUGGUAGUCCACGCUGUAAACGAUGAUCACUCGUUGUCGGCGAUAUAAUGCCGGUGGCCAAGCGAAAGUGAUAAGUGAUCCACCUGGGGAGUACGUUCGCAAGUAUGAAACUCAAAGGAAUUGACGGGGGCCCGCACAAGCGGAGGAGCAUGUGGUUUAAUUCGAUGAUACGCGAGGAACCUUACCUAGACUUGAACGUAUUUGGAAUAAAGUAGAAAUAUUUUAGCCAGCAAUGGCCAUUUACGAGGUGCUGCAUGGUUGUCGUCAGCUCGUGCCGUGAGGUGUUAGGUUAAGUCCUGCAACGAGCGCAACCCUUACCGUUAGUUACCAUCAGGUUAUGCUGGGGACUCUAGCGGAACUGCCCGCGCAAGCGUGGAGGAAGGUGGGGAUGACGUCAAAUCAGCACGGCCCUUACGUCUAGGGCGACACACGUGCUACAAUGGGCGGUACAGAGGGCAGCUACACAGCGAUGUGAUGCUAAUCUCAAAAGCCGUUCUCAGUUCGGAUUGGAGUCUGCAACCCGACUCCAUGAAGUUGGAUUCGCUAGUAAUCGCGCAUCAGCCAUGGCGCGGUGAAUACGUUCCCGGGCCUUGUACACACCGCCCGUCAAGCCAUGGAAGUUUGGGGCGCCUGAAGUACGUGACCGCAAGGAGCGUCCUAGGGUGAAACAGAUAACUGGGGCUAAGUCGUAACAAGGUAACC
rnacentral:rRNA from 1 species